rnacentral:rRNA from 1 species
AAAAUCCACGCGGCUUGGGGAAAUACGAUAGUACUCGGAGUCUUCGGACAAAGAGAUAGUGCGCCUAAGGGCUUCCAAGAAAAACCUCUAAACUUCAGGUAAUGAGUACCCGUACCGCAAACCGACACAGGUAGUCGAGGAGAGAAUCCUAAGGUGCUCGAGAGAUUCAUGGCUAAGGAAUUAGGCAAAAUAGACCCGUAACUUCGGGAGAAGGGUCGCCCCGAGUAAUCGGGGCCGCAGUGAAGAGGUCCAGGCGACUGUUUAUCAAAAACACAGGGCUCUGCAAAAUCGCAAGAUGAAGUAUAGGGCCUGACACCUGCCCGGUGCUGGAAGGUUAAGAGGAGAUGUUAUCUUCGGAGAAGCAUUGAAUUGAAGCCCCAGUAAACGGCGGCCGUAACAAUAACGGUCCUAAGGUAGCGAAAUUCCUUGUCGGGUAAGUUCCGACCUGCACGAAUGGUGUAACGAUCUGGACACUGUCUCAGCCAUGAGCUCGGUGAAAUUGUAGUAACGGUGAAGAUGCCGUUUACCCGCAGUGGGACGAAAAGACCCUGUGCACCUUUACUAUAGCUUAGUAUUGACCUUGGAUAAAUGAUGUGUAGGAUAGGUUGGAGACUGUGAAGUGGCGUCGCCAGGCGUUGUGGAGUCAUUGUUGAAAUACAACCCUUUGUUUAUCUGAGGCCUAACCCCCAAUCGGGGGGACAUUGCUUGGUGGGUAGUUUGACUGGGGUGGUCGCCUCCAAAAGAGUAACGGAGGCUUCUAAAGGUUCCCUCAGUACGCUUGGUAACCGUGCGUAGAGUGCAAUGGCAUAAGGGAGCUUGACUGAGAGACAUACAGGUCGAUCAGGUACGAAAGUAGAGCAUAGUGAUCCGGUGGUUCCGCAUGGAAGGGCCAUCGCUCAAAGGAUAAAAGGUACGCCGGGGAUAACAGGCUGAUCUCCCCCAAGAGCUCAUAUCGACGGGGGGGUUUGGCACCUCGAUGUCGGCUCGUCACAUCCUGGGGCUGGAGAAGGUCCCAAGGGUUGGGCUGUUCGCCCAUUAAAGUGGCACGCGAGCUGGGUUCAGAACGUCGUGAGACAGUUCGGUCUCUAUCUACUGUGGGCGCAAGAAAUUUGAGUGGAUCUGAUUCUAGUACGAGAGGACCGAAUUGGACUAACCGCUGGUGUAUCUGUUGUCCCGCCAGGGGCACCGCAGAGUAGCUACGUUGGGAAGGGAUAAGCGCUGAAAGCAUAUAAGCGCGAAACCCACCACAAGAUGAGAUUUCUUUUAAGGGUCGUGGGAGAUGACCACGUUGAUAGGCUAUAGGUGUAAAGGCAGUAAUGUCAUAGCCGAGUAGUACUAAUAACCC